AUGGAUCUGCAAGGAAUUCUUUGAAGGAGCUGGAGAGAACUUCAUUGUGCUUAUAUAGUAGCUAGCUACACAGUACCAGGGAGAUGGGAGAUUUCCGGAUUUCGAUUGGAGAUGGAGAUCGAGGAUUGGAAAACCCUGCUUUAGAGUUCACGGAAUCAGAGGGAAGUCCAGGAGCAACAAAGAAUCAUCACCCUUUUGAGAUUUUGGGAGAAAACAACGCACAAGAUGCUCAUUUUGGGAGGUAUAAGAGUGUGGUUCAGCCUUUUUAUAAAGCAAGUGGCUUUUGCAAGGCACACAUCAAGUUAAUAAAGAUGGCCAU
rnacentral:lncRNA from 11 species